UAGCAGGCAGUUCAUGGAGGCUUGGCCUGCAGAGGCUCAGUCUGUCCUUUCCUGUAGUGUCUGCUAGAGAGAACUGGGGUGGUUUUUAGGUCAUGUUGUGUGUGUCCCCUCCAUGGCAAGGUAAACCACACACAUCA
rnacentral:snoRNA from 1 species